ACGCUCGACACCUACGGGGGGCAGCAGUCGGGAAUAUUGCGCAAUGGAGGGAACUCUGACGCAGUGACGCCGCGUAUAGGAAGAAGGUUUUCGGAUUGUAAACUAUUGUCGUUAGGGAAGAGAAAGGACAGUACCUAAGGAGGAAGCUCCGGCUAACUACGUGCCAACAGCCGCGGUAAUCUGAGCGGGCUGGCAAGGC
rnacentral:rRNA from 1 species